UACGGAGGGUGCGAGCGUUAAUCGGAAUUACUGGGCGUAAAGCGUACGCAGGCGGUUUGUUAAGCGAGAUGUGAAAGCCCCGGGCUCAACCUGGGAACUGCAUUUCGAACUGGCAAACUAGAGUGUGAUAGAGGGUGGUAGAAUUUCAGGUGUAGCGGUGAAAUGCGUAGAGAUCUGAAGGAAUACCGAUGGCGAAGGCAGCCACCUGGGUCAACACUGACGCUCAUGUACGAAAGCGUGGGGAG
rnacentral:rRNA from 1 species